ACCGAGACCGGAAGCUCGGGCUACACUGAGGAAGCCGAGUCUGAGAAGCCGAGGCUUCACGGCUAUAAUAAUGUCUCCUCUAACGUGGAGCCAGGACGCCCCGCCUUUGGGGAAGACUCGCGCAAGGAUUGGACCUCAGGGUAGUGCGGCCGAGCCCCUACCCGCCCCAGAGAACCUCUGGCCCUGCCAGCGCGGCGGGCACACCCGCCUCUGUCCGACGGUGACCCGGGCAGCUCCGUGAACGCGAUGGCCCAGCCAGGUACAGACACCUCACCGAACCCACCUGGGACGUUUACACUUGCCAGUAACUCUCCCGCUAUCACCAAUUCUGAUGAAUAUGAUAGAUAUGGUAAGUCACUCACAGCUUGGCCACUUUUACCUUGGAAGCAGACAGGAUCCAUUUCUUGUUGUUGCUGACGGCAACAUCUGUCACCCAGUCAUUAUGGCCCUGAAGAAAUAACAGAUUUUUAUGAGAACAUAGAGAAAAAUCAUUUUGAAAGGACAACAGAAACAAUCUGCGUGUGGUGGCUCACACGUAACCUGCCCUUUGGGAUGCCGAGGUGGGAGGAUCACUUGAGCCCAGGAGGUGGAAGUUGCAGGGAGCCAUGAUCAUGCCACUGCACUCCAGCCUGGGCAACAGAGUGAGAUCCCCUAUCUUAGAAAACAACAACAAGUCAAGAGUCCAGCGUUGUUUACAUUUAAGAGUAGCUGGCUGAGCACAGUGGCUCACGCUGUAACCUCAACACUCUGCAGGGUUGAGGUGGACGGAUUCCUUGAGUCUGGGAGUUUGAGAACAGCCUGGGCAACACAGUGAAACCCCGUCUCUACUAA